rnacentral:rRNA from 1 species
UAUCCCUACGGGACGCAGCAGUGAGGAAUAUCGGUCAAUGGUCGGGAGACUGAACCAGCCAAGCCGCGUGAGGGAGGAAGGUACAGAGUAUCGUAAACCUCUUUUGUCAGGGAACAAAGGCGGGGACGUGUCCCCGGAUGAGUGUACCUGAAGAAAAAGCAUCGGCUAACUCCGUGCCAGCAGCCGCGGUAAUACGGAGGAUGCGAGCGUUAUCCGGAUUUAUUGGGUUUCAAGGGUGCGCAGGCGGUCUGUUAAGUCAGCGGUCGAAGGCCGGGG